rnacentral:rRNA from 1 species
ACCAGACUCCUACGGGAGGCAGCAGUGGGGAAUAUUGCACAAUGGGGGAAACCCUGAUGCAGCGACGCCGCGUGAGUGAAGAAGUAUUUCGGUAUGUAAAGCUCUAUCAGCAGGAAAGAAAAUGACGGUACCUGACUAAGAGGCCCCGGCUAACUACGUGCCAGCAGCCGCGGUAAUACGUAGGGGGCAAGCGUUAUCCGGAUUUACUGGGUGUAAAGGGAGCGUAGACGGUGAAGCAAGUCUGAAGUGAAAGGCGGGGGCUCAACCCCCGGACUGCUUUGGAAACUGUUUGACUGGAGUGCAGGAGAGGUAAGUGGAAUUCCUAGUGUAGCGGUGAAAUGCGUAGAUAUUAGGAGGAACACCAGUGGCGAAGGCGGCUUACUGGACUGUAACUGACGUUGAGGCUCGAAAGCGUGGGGAGCAAA